AGAUUUGCAUAUAGUGUAGUAUGCAACUAAAAAUAAAGAAAUACACGUCAAGA
rnacentral:ncRNA from 12 species